ACUUGACACAUAAACGCUCAAUAAAUACCAGGUGGCGGGAACUGCAGAGAUGGAUGGAACCACAGAUGGAGUUAGGCAGAAGUGGGUUUGAGUGCUGGCCUUACCUCUUACCAGUGAUGGAAUCUUGAGCGUGUCGCUAAUGCUCAGAGUUCAUAAAGUGACGGCGUUAAUGAAGAAGAGGAGAUAACAUGUGUCUUAAUAAGGCCUCCAAUGCCUUGUCCGACCCGGUCCUAAUCCACCCUAGCAUUCUCCCCUUGCUCUCUGAAUUUCACCCACACUGCUGCCUUUUAGCUCUUCAAAAGCUUCAAGCUCCUGUAUGCCCACCAUAGGGCCUUUGCCUAUGUAGUUCCCACUGCCUUCCCCAUUCUUGUCUAGUUGACUCACGAUCAUAUUAGAGCUCAGCCAGAGUACCACUUCCUCAAGGAAGCCUUCCCUGAUCUUCUCCAAUUAAGUGAGAUUUCCUCAGAAGGUGCAUUUUGAACUCUAUAAGAAUUCCCACAAUUGCCAUUAAAUAAUAAUUGUGUAAUGAGUUGUUCAAUUCCCCCCACUCUUUCC
rnacentral:lncRNA from 1 species